rnacentral:lncRNA from 1 species
ACAAAGAGGAUGCACUAAAGAUAAUCUUGGAGAGAGAGGAUGUCAAGGGGAUUUUGAAGUUGUUUGCAAACCAGCUUUUGGUGGAGAUGCAGCUACUUCAUCAUAUACUAAGGAGGAUACUCUUUUCAAAGAUAGGGAGGUUUGACUUUGUAUCAAAGAGAGUUAUUGUUAUUAUGUAUUGUGUUGGGGAGAAAUUUGUCACCCAGACUGAAGACAUGGAUUAGUGAAAAGAUAGAUGAUGUUGUUGGAAUUUCAUAUCAGGGCA